GUGUGUGUGUGUGUGUGUGUGUGUGUGUGUGUGUGUGUGUGUGUGUGUGUGUGAGCUCAGUUACCGAUACCAAGACGAGGAAGACUACUGGACCAGGUGUGUGAGCUCAGUUACCAAUACCAAGACGAGGAAGACUACUGGACCAGGUGUGUGAGCUCAGUUACCAAUACCAAGACGAGGAAGACUACUGGACCAGGUGUGUGAGCUCAGUUACCGAUACCAAGACGAGGAAGACUACUGGACCAGGUGUGUGUGAGCUCAGUUACCGAUACCAAGACGAGGAAGACUACUGGACCAGGUGUGUGAGCUCAGUUACCGAUACCAAGACGAGGAAGACUACUGGACCAGGUGUGUGUGAGCUCAGUUACCGAUACCAAGACGAGGAAGACUACUAGACCAGGUGUGUGUGAGCUCAGUUACCGAUACCAAGACGAGGAAGACUACUAGACCAGGUGUGUGAGCUCAGUUACCGUUACCAAGACGAGGAAGACUACUAGACCAGGUGUGUGUGAGCUCAGUUACCGAUAACAAGACGAGGAAGACUACUGGACCAGGUG